UAUAAUAACUUCAUCAACAAGCUAACUUGUUUUACUUCGUUUUAGUGUCAAGUCCAAUGCAUCAAAGCUUCGUAAAGCCAUUAAUUGUAUCUGGAGGUUUUGCCGGACCACCAUCAUAUUCAAUGGCAUCAUGGUCGUCAGCUAAUAUGGCAAACGGAGGAAGUGCUAAAUAUCCAUCAACGCCUGGAUUGUUAUAUUC